rnacentral:rRNA from 1 species
AGGGCGCAAGGUGGAUGCCUUGGCUCACGGAGGCGAUGAAGGACGUGAUAAGCUGCGAUAAGCCUCGGGUAGGUGCAAAUAACCAUUGAUCCGAGGAUUUCCGAAUGGGACAACCCAAUAUCUUGAAGAGGUAUUAUCUUACUAUGUAAGAGGCUAACGCAGGGAACUGAAACAUCUUAGUACCUGCAGGAAGAGAAAAUAAGUUAAUGAUUCCCCUAGUAGUGGCGAGCGAACGGGGAAUAGCCCAAACCAUGAUUGUAGCAAUGCAACCAUGGGGUUGUAGGACCACGCUGUAGCACGAUACUUGUGAGAAGAACGUUCUGGAAAGAACGGCCAUAGACGGUGAUAGCCCGGUAAUCGAAGCAAGUUGAAGCUUAGUGGUAUCCUGAGUAACGCGGAACACGAGAAAUUCUGCGCGAAUCUGCCGGGACCAUCCGGUAAGGCUAAAUACUCCCGAGAGACCGAUAGCGAACCAGUACCGUGAGGGAAAGGUGAAAAGCACUUCGAACAGAAGAGUGAAAUAGUUCCUGAAACCGUGCGCCUACAAGCGGUCGGAGCUCGUUAAUGAGUGACGGCGUGCCUUUUGCAUAAUGAACCUACGAGUUACCAUCACAGGCAAGGUUAAGUCUCAUGAGGGACGCAACCGCAGUGAAAGCGAGGCUGAAUAGGCCGUCGAGUCUGUGGGGGUAGACGCGAAACCAAGUGAUCUACACUUGUCCAGGUUGAAGUCCCGGUAACACGGGAUGGAGGACCGAACCAAUAAGCGUUGAAAAGCUUCUGGAUGAGGUGAGGGUAGGAGUGAAAGGCCAAUCAAACUUGGAGAUAGCUCGUACUCCCCGAAAUGCAUUUAGGUGCAGCCUUUAUUUAGUAUAGCAUGAGGUAGAGCGACUGAUCGGAUGCGAGGGCUUCACCGCCUAUCAAGUCCGGACAAACUCCGAAUGCGUGCAGGUUAGAGACGGGGAGUGAGGGCAUGGGUGCUAAGGUCCGUGCCCGAGAGGAGAAGAAUCCAGACCACCGGCUAAGGCCCCCAAAUGAUCGUUAAGUUGAACUAACGAGGUCGGAUCGCAGAGACAGCUAGGAUGUUGGCUUGGAAGCAGCCAUUCAUUCAAAGAGUGCGUAACAGCUCACUGGUCGAGAGUCCCUGCAUGGAUAAUAAUCGGGUAUAAGACAGAUACCGAAGGCGCGGGAUAGCAAUAAUAAAAGUAUCGGUAGGGGAGCAUUCCAUAUCCGUCGAAUGGUGCGGGUAACUGAUCCUGGAGGAUAUGGAAAAGCAAAUGUAGGUAUAAGUAACGAUAAGGAGGGUAAGAUUCCCUCCCGCCGCAAGACUAAGGUUUCCCGGGCAAUGUCAAUCAUCCCGGGGUCAGUCGGGUCCUAAGUCUCAGCCGAACGGCGAGGGCGAUGGCAGACACGGUCAACAUUCCGUGACUACCUUUAGGAGCGAUGCGGAGACGGAGCAGUGACACUUCCGCGAACCGACGGAAUGGUUCGUUGAAGAGUGUAGACGUUGAUCAGGGUAGGCAAAUCCGCCUUGAGAGUCGAACUUGAAAGUACAGGGUCCUCUUCGGAGGAACUUGAUAGCGAAGGUAAACAUACUCCCGAGAAAAUCCGCUAAGCAAUCUUAAAGGUACCCGUACCGCAAACGGACACACGUAGUCGGGUUGAAUAUACUAAGGCGCUUGAGUGAUUCACGGUUAAGGAACUAGGCAAAUUGACCCUGUAACUUCGGGAUAAAGGGUCCUCGUCGUAAGGCGAGGCGCAGAGAAUAGGUCCAGGCAACUGUUUAACAAAAACACAGGGCUGUGCGAACUCGAAAGAUGAAGUAUACAGCCUGACACCUGCCCGGUGCUGGAAGGUUAAGAGGAGAUGUCAUCGCAAGAGAAGCAUUGAAUUGAAGCCCCAGUAAACGGCGGCCGUAACUAUAACGGUCCUAAGGUAGCGAAAUUCCUUGUCGGGUAAGUUCCGACCCGCACGAAAGGCGUAAUGAUUUGGGCACUGUCUCAACAACACACCCGGUGAAAUUGAAAUACCAGUGAAGAUGCUGGUUACCUGCGCCAGGACGGAAAGACCCCAUGGAGCUUUACUCCAGUUUGAUACUGGGAUUCGGUACUGCAUGUACAGGAUAGGUGGGAGACGAAGAAGGAUGGACGCCAGUCUGUCCGGAGUCGCUGUUGGGAUACCACCCCUGUAGUACUGGGUUUCUAACCAGUUGCCAUGAACUGGCAAUGGGACAAUGUCAGGCGGGGAGUUUGACUGGGGCGGUCGCCUCCGAAAGGGUAUCGGAGGCGCUCAAAGGUUCCCUCAGAAUGGUUGGAAACCAUUCGAAGAGUGCAAAGGCAGAAGGGAGCUUGACUGCGACACCGACGGGUGGAGCAGGUACGAAAGUAGGACUUAGUGAUCCGGUGGUAUUAAAGUGGGAUUGCCAUCGCUCAACGGAUAAAAGCUACCCUGGGGAUAACAGGCUUAUCACUCCCAAGAGUUCACAUCGACGGAGUGGUUUGGCACCUCGAUGUCGGCUCAUCGCAUCCUGGGGCUGUAGCAGGUCCCAAGGGUUGGGCUGUUCGCCCAUUAAAGCGGUACGCGAGCUGGGUUCAGAACGUCGUGAGACAGUUCGGUCCCUAUCUGUCGUGGGCGCAGGAUAUUUGAUGGGAGCUGUUCCUAGUACGAGAGGACCGGGACGGACGUACCUCUGGCGCACCAGUUGUUCCGCCAGGAGCAUAGCUGGGCAACUACGUACGGAUCGGAUAAACGCUGAAAGCAUCUAAGCGUGAAGCCGUCCUUAAGAUAAGAUAUCCCACUUUUAAGUUAAGACCCCUUGU